CAUGACCUACGGGACGCAGCAGUGGGGAAUAUUGCACAAUGGGGGAAACCCUGAUGCAGCGACGCCGCGUGAGUGAAGAAGAAUUUCGGUACGUAAAGCUCUAUCAGCAGGGAAGAAAAAAAGUCCUUUGGACUUUGGACGGUACCUGACCAAGAAGCCCCGGCUAACUACGUGCCAGCAGCCGCGGUAAUACGUAGGGGGCAAGCGUUAUCCGGAUUUACUGGGUGUAAAGGGAGCGUAGACGGCAGCGCAAGUCUGGAGAGAAAUGCCGGGGC
rnacentral:rRNA from 1 species